AACCCUGACGCAGCAACGCCGCGUGAGUGAAGAAAGCCUUUGGGUCGUAAAGCUCUGUCAACUGGGAAGAAAUUGUCUGAUAUUAAUAGUGUCAGUCAUUGACGGUACCAGUGGAGGAAGCGCCGGCUAACUCCGUGCCAGCAGCCGCGGUAACACUGGGGGCGCAAUCGUUAUUCGGAAUUAUUGGGCGUAAAGGGCGCGCAGGCGGUCUUGUCAGUCAGGUGUGAAAGCCCGGGUGCUCACCCUGGAAGUGCAUUUGAAACAGCAAGACUUGAAUACUGGAGAGGAAAGCGGAAUUCCUGGUGUAUAGGUGAAAUUCGUAGAUAUCAGGAGGAACAGCUAUGGCGAAAGCAGCUUUCUGGACAGAUAUUGAACGCUGAGGCGCGAAGGCGUGGGUAGCGAACAGGAUUAGAUACCCUGGUAGUCCACGCAGUAAAUGUUGUACACUCGUGUGUAUCGGCUAUUCAAAUUCUGAUGUGCCUAAGGCUAACGCAUUAAGUGUACCGCCUGGGAAGCACGGUCACAAGACUGGCACUCAAAGGAAUCGACGGGGGCCCGCACAAGCGGUGGAACAUGUGGAUUAAUUCGACGCAACGCGAAGUACCUUACCUGCGUUUCACAUCCUGUGAAUAUAGGGUAAUUCCAAUAGUGCAUUCGGGAGCACAGAGACAGGUGCAGCAUGGCUGUCGUCAGCUCGCGUCGUGAGAUGUUUGGUUAAGUCCAGCAACGAGCACAACCCUCAUCGUUAGUUGCCAGCUACAUAAUGGUGGGAACUCUAG
rnacentral:rRNA from 1 species